UUGAGUCACUUUCGCUUCCCUCCCCGAGCUGCGAGGAGGCAAACCAUCUUUGUCUUCGUUAUAGCUGCUAGUGGAGGAAAGAUAGAGGCUGGAGAGGUGGACGUAACAGUGGAGGGACUGUCAUACACACAUGUAGGACUGCCACACAGGUUAGGGUGACACACAGAAAGGUGCGGCGGCCAAGGAUGCACACCACCCUCAUCUACUACCUCCACAACCAAAGUCACUAGAACGGACCUUAUCCACAACCAUCACUCUGUCUCCACCACGCGCUGCACGGGGGAACAACACUGCCUCUCCACUAUCCUCGCCUCAACUCUCCAUGUGGCGCCCAAGCAUCGGCUUAUCUUCCUGCCCUUAGAGGUAUGCAAACUGCUGGAGGGGCAGAAGGUGGAAGGUCUGAUAAAAGGUCACUAUAGAGAAGAACCUCAAGUGAGACCCCUAGUGGGACUCCAUUUAACCCCAGUGUGAGACCCUAGGUGUGACCCAAAGUGUGACCCCUACAAUGACAGUCACUGGGACCUGGGACCCGAGGAGAGGCAGCAGCACGUCCCAGCCCUGGUCAGGUCAGCCACACUCGCCCUUGACCCUGCCUUGACCCGACUUAGCCAGCAGAAGAUGAUGAUAAUGAGAGGAAAGAAGAGGAAGAGAAGAAUAGGAGGAAGAGAGGAAGGAAGAGGAAGAGAAGAAGAAGAGGAAGAGAUGAAGGAAGUGGAGGAGAAGAAAAAUAAGAAAUAUUAGUAGGGCUCUCUCUCUCUCUCUAACAUGUAAUGUGUCACAAAUUUGGCUCGCAUAUCUUGUUUCCUUGAUAGUUAAAAUAGUCGGUUUGUAUGAUGGUCUUACUUCAAAGACAAGAACUUUUCCUCCAGUGCCAUCUAUUCUUUCUUCUAUAAGUUACCUCCACACUUCUUCCAUCUUCACUCCAUUUCUGACUAUCCUACUUCCCUUCUGUCAGUAGAAAUAGUAGUUUUCUAAGACAGUCGCACACCAAAACGAGACAUUUUCUCUUUCUCAUUUUUCUCUCUAGAAGUUUGUAAUCUUUCUUCUAUAUCUCCCUCCCCAAGUUACCUCUAAACUUCUCCACCUAUACAGACUUUCCUCCACCUUCCCUCCAAGUCUGACUAUCCUACCACACUUCUAUCAUCGUUGAAAUAGUGUUUUUUUCCGAGAUUGUCUCGCACAAAAACCAGACACUUUUCCCUCCACCCACCUAACUUCUUUCCUCCAUAUCUCCCUCCACAAGUUACCUCCACACUUCUCCGCUGUAGACUUCCCUCCAAUUGUGACUAUCCUAUCUUCCUUUGACAGUUAAAUUAUAAUUUUGUAAAAUAUUCUCACUUUAGAUAUCUUAAAGCACUAUUUUGACUGUGAUAGAAAUGUGGUAGGAUAGUCAGACUUGGAGGGAAGGUGGAGGAAACAUGGAGGAAGGUCUGUUUAGGUGUAUGAGUGCGGAGGUAACUUGUGGAGGAAGAUAUGAAGGAAAGAAGGCAAACAUUCGGAGAUAAAAAUGCUGGGUUUUGAUAGCAUUGUUUAAAUAAUGUAUUAUUAAUUCAGGAGAAAAAAACAGACAAAUAAUUAAUUGUACCUUUAUAUUUUAUAUAUUACAGAUUUGCAUUAUUAUUGUUAUUAUUAUUAUGCAAAUUCUAUAAAAAAAAAAAAGCUCCUUGAAUACUGUACAAAUGUUAAUUAACUCUUACUAACUACAACUAAGUUGUUGUUGUUAUUAUUAUGACAGACAAUUUAUGAGUGUGUCUGCAUCUCUCUCUCUCUCUCUCUCUCUCUCUCUCUCUCUCUCUCUCUCUCUCUCUCUCUCUC
rnacentral:lncRNA from 1 species